rnacentral:lncRNA from 1 species
AGUGCCCGAGCCAAGGAUGAAUGAUUUAUGCUUUGUAAACCAGAUUCUCCAGUUUUAUUUGUGGCUGUUUCCAUUUUGUAACCCCCAGGUCCUCCAUGAAACCUUGCUUAAAUGUUCCAACAUGAUCUCAGCCGUGCAGAGGGAACUAAGAAAGGCGCUCUCCCUCCACAUCAAAUGUGUGGGGCGUGACGGCUGGCAGUGACCUCUGAGGAGAAGUGGGUGUCGGGCCUGUGAGCUCGUUACCACUUUCCAUGGCAGAUUCAUCUCCUCACCUACAAGGGGCGACUACACUGGAUCUCAGCAAAGAAGAGGUCAAGUUCCCUUUUCAAAGUGCUAGAGAAAGCAGAACUCCAGCUAGCCCCUGAAAAGUAAGUGGUCAACUCAAGGUUACAAUGGCCCCGCUGACCGGCUGAGCCACGUCCGCACAACCAUUUGUAUGCUACCUCAUGGCUCAAAAAAAUAAUAAUAUUCUGUACACAGAUUAAAUGUUUACAGAAGAAAAAUAUAUUUCAAACUGUUAUCAACUAAACUAAUUUUUAUUUUCAUCUUUUUAGGAGAUGAAGAGAAAGGAAUUUAGAGAUUAUUUUAAAAAUCAUUGAACAUAUCACAAGUGUGGUGUGACUGCCACCCAAGCCCAAGAAGCCCUCCCAAGUCUCCACAUUCGUCCUUCAGUUAGGGCCCCAGUAUCUGUUCAUGUGUACAGCAAAAUGUCUGGGGAGAGCUGCCGGUAUUUUCUGCUGUCUCCACUUACCUGACUCUGUGUUCUCCCCUGACCCCUUUAUAACCCACUUUCAAGUCCACUCCUCCCUAAAACCAGUCUCAUCAGGAUCACCAGCAUCCUCCAUGGAGCACACCACUUUCUUCCCUUGGCUCUGAUUGCAACCUGUUCCUGGCUUGCCUUCUGCCUCUGAGCACGUCUCCUCUUUCCAAUGUCUGAUGACUAAUAGGCCCUAAGCACAGACCUCUGGCUCCUCUCUUCCCUACAGGCCAUUCCCUGCAGCCAGUCUCCAGGCUGUGGACUCCCAGUUGACACCUCUAGCCUCACUUUCCCCUUCACACACACAGCAGCCUGGCUAACAUCACAUUUGGAUACUCAGUCUGCGUCUCCAGCUUCAGUAUCUACCCAGAACUCCACGCCUCUUCCUUCCCUGCCCCAGUCUUCCCCAUUUCAGUAUGUAGCACCACUGUUUACCCAGUUGCUUGUGCCAGGAUCUAAACAUCAUGCUUGAUUCUCCCUCCUCCUCCAUAUCUAACUCAUCAGCUAGUCAGGUUGACCCUGCCUCCUUCCCAAAUCAAGCCACCCAUCCCCACCAUCUCCCCUGCCCCGAGUCCAGGCCGUGCCUCUUAACCAAUCUGCUUUUAUGGUUGCUCCCACUAACUAUUUUUAAAAACAGCCAUGUCUUACAGAACACCGGCCACACCAUGUCAUUUUCCUCCUUAGGACACUGCUGACUCUCCCACACAAUGAAACCCACAGUCCCUGCCGUGGCCUCUGAUGUCCUGUCUGUCCCAUUCCUCACCUCCCACCCCUGGCACUUGCUGGGUUUCAUCUGGC